rnacentral:lncRNA from 1 species
AAGGAAGCGCAAUCUAGCAUUGUUUGUCCACCAGCCAUGACUCGUUAUUUUAUUUGCCAAUAGAUGAUGCCAAAAGCAGACGUGCUUUCUUUAGCUGUCGGCUGAUGGCGCUGUAGGCAGCCGCCGCAGAGCGGAGGCCAUGUGGUCGCGUGUUUCCUUUCAUAAAGGACGACA